ACACGAGUCGAUGGGGGUUACU
rnacentral:piRNA from 1 species